AUGCCGCGCGCGCCCCGGUGCCGCGCCGUGCGCGCUCUGCUGCGGAGCCGUUACCGGGAGGUGCUGCCCCUGGCCUCCUUCCUGCGGCGCCUGGGGCCCCAGGGCCGGAGGCUGGUGCGGCGCGGGGACCCGGCGGCCUUCCGCGCGCUGGUGGCCCAGUGCCUGGUGUGCGUGCCCUGGGACGCGCGGCCACCCCCCGUCGCCCCGUCCUUCCGCCAGGUGUCCUGCCUGAAGGAGCUGGUGGCCCGGGUGGUGCAGAGGCUGUGCGAGCGCGGCGCCAGGAACGUGCUGGCUUUCGGCUUCGCCCUGCUAGACGGGGCCCGCGGCGGGCCGCCCCUGGCCUUCACCACCAGCGUGCGCAGCUACCUGCCCAACACCGUGACGGAAACUCUGCGCGGCAGCGGCGCGUGGGGGCUGCUGCUGCGCCGCGUGGGCGACGAUGUGCUCGCCCACCUGCUCACGUGCUGCGCGCUCUACGUGCUGGUGGCCCCGAGCUGCGCCUACCAGGUGUGUGGGCCUCCGCUCUACGACCUCUGCGUCCCCGCCGCCGUGUCUCGGCCCCUCGGGUCCCCCGGCCACAGUCCUGGGACCUGGAAGGACCUCAGACCCACGCGCCAGGCCUGGAAGUCUGGCGCAAGGCGGCGGCGGCGGCGGGGCAAAUCCGGGAGCAGUCCGCCUCUAGCCAAGAGGCCCAGGCGCGGCGUGACCCCGGAGCCCGAGCAGGGGACCCAGAGGCCGUCUGCCCAGGCCCACCUGGGCAGGGCGCAUGGGCCGGGUGACAACAAACCUCACGCAGUGACACCUGCCAGGGUCGCUGCAGAAGCUGCCUCUUGGGAGGGAGGGCCCCUUGGGACUCGUCUCAGCUCCGCUGCGGCACAGCCAUCUCAGGGACCCCAGGGAGUACCCCAUCAGCCAGCGCACCCCGAAACCAAGCACUUCCUCUACUGCUCAGGAGGCAGGGAGCGGCUGCGCCCCUCCUUCCUGCUCAGCGCCCUGCCGCCUAGCCUGACCGGGGCCCGGAAACUCGUGGAGACCGUCUUUCUGGGCUCCACGGCCCGGAGGGCAGGGGCUGCCCACAGGACGCGCCGCCUUCCCGCACGCUACUGGCGGAUGCGGCCUCUGUUCCAGGAGCUGCUUGGGAACCAUGCGCGGUGCCCUUACCGCGCGCUCCUCAGGACGCACUGCCCGCUUCGGGCGGAGGCCCCGGGAGCGGCGUCCAGCAAGCAGGCCCGUGGAGGAGUGGGCGUCUGCCCUUUGGAGAGGCCCGUGGCAGCCCCGGAGGAGAACGCGGACCCCCGGCGCCUGGUCCGGCUUCUCCGGCAGCACAGCAGCCCCUGGCAGGUGUACGCUUUCCUGCGGGCCUGCCUGGGCCGGCUGGUGCCCCCAGCGCUCUGGGGCUCCAGGCACAACCAGCGCCGCUUCUUGAGGAACGUGAAGAAGUUCAUCUCUCUGGGCAAGCACGCCAAGCUCUCGCCCCAGGAGCUGACGUGGAAGAUGAAAGUGCAGGACUGUGCCUGGCUGCGGGGGAGCCCAGGGGCUCGCAGUGUGCCGGCCGCCGAGCACCGCCGCAGAGAAGGGGUCCUGGCCAGGCUCCUGUGCUGGUUGAUGGGCACCUACGUGGUUGAGCUGCUCAGGUCGUUUUUCUACGUCACGGAAACCACGUUUCAGAAGAACCGGCUCUUCUUCUACCGGAAGAGCGUCUGGAGCCCGUUACAGACCCUGGGAGUCAGACAGCACUGCACCAGCGUGCGCCUCCGAGAGCUGUCCGCCGCAGAGGUCCGAAGACAGCACGAAGCCAGGGCGACUCUCCUGACGUCCAGACUCCGCUUCCUCCCCAAGCCCGGUGGGCUGCGGCCGAUCGUGAACAUGGACUAUGUGGCGGGAGCCAGAACCUUGUGCCGAGACAAGAAGAUCCAGCAUCUCACCUCGCAAGUGAAGACGCUGUUCAGCGUGCUGAACUAUGAGCGGGCCCGGCGCCCCAGACUCCUGGGGGCCUCUGUGCUGGGCAUGGACGACAUCCACAGGGCCUGGCACGACUUUGUGCUGCGUGUGCGGGCCCGGGAUCCAGCGCCCCGCCUGUACUUCGUCAAGGUGGACGUGACGGGGGCGUAUGAUGCCCUGCCCCAGGACAGGCUGGCCGAGGUCGUCGCCAACGUGCUCAGGCCUCAUGAAAACACCUACUGCUUGAGGCGCUACGCCGUGGUCCGGAGAACCGCCCAGGGGCACGUCCGCAGGUCCUUCAAGAGACAUGUGUCCACCUUCACAGACCUCCCGCCGUACAUGAGACAGUUUGUGGAGCGUUUGCAGGAGACGAGCUCGCUCAGGGACUCUGUGGUUAUCGAGCAGAGCUACUCUCUGAACGAAGCCAGCAGCGGCCUUUUCCACCUUUUCCUGAGCUUGGUGUACAACCACGUCAUAAGGAUCGGGGGCAAGUCGUAUGUCCAGUGUCAGGGGAUCCCACAGGGCUCCGUCCUGUCCACCCUGCUGUGCAGCCUGUGUUACGGGGACAUGGAGCGCAGGCUGUUUCCUGGCAUCCAGCAGGACGGCCUGCUCCUGCGUCUGGUGGACGACUUCCUGCUCGUCACGCCCCACCUGAAGCGAGCACAGGCCUUCCUCAGGACGCUGGUCAGGGGCGUCCCCGAGUAUGGCUGCUUGGCGAACUUGCAGAAGACGGCAGUGAACUUUCCCGUGGAGGACAUGGCCCUGGGCAGCGCGGCACCCCUCCAGCUGCCGGCCCACUGCCUGUUCCCCUGGUGUGGCUUGCUGCUGGACACCCAGACCCUGGAGGUGUCCUGUGACUACUCCAGUUACGCCCGCACGUCCAUCCGCUCGAGCCUGACCUUCAGCCAGGGCGCCCGGCCCGGGAGGAGCCUGCGGUACAAGCUGUUUGCGCUCCUGCGGCUCAAGUGCUGCGCCCUGUUCCUGGACCUGCAGGUGAACAGCGUCCGCACGGUUUAUGCAAACGUUUACAAGAUAUUCCUGCUGCAGGCCUACAGGUUCCACGCGUGUGUGCUCCAGUUUCCGUUUGACCAGCCGGUGAGGAAGAACCCCGCCUUCUUCCUCCGCAUCAUCUCAGACACCGCGUCACGCUGCUACUCCCUCCUGAAAGCCAGGAACACAGGGAUGUCCCUGGGGGCCAAGGGCGCCUCCGGCCUGUUUCCUUCUGAGGCUGCACGGUGGCUCUGCCUCCAGGCCUUCUUGCUCAAGCUGGCUCGUCACAGUGGCACCUACCGGUGUCUCUUGGGGGCACUCCGGGCAGCCCAAGGGCACCUGUGCCGACAGCUCCCGAGGGCGACCCUGGCCGCCUUGGAGGCAGCGGCUGACCCCAGCCUGACUGCAGACUUCAACACCAUCUUGGACUGACCUCCUGUCCGCGCAGCCCAGAGUGACUUCCAAGACCCCCGAGCCCGGGCCUUGUGACUUCAUGUGGUGGGAGCUGCCGGCUCGCCUUCAGGAAGGCUUCCUUCCGGGAUGUCCCUGAUGGGCCACGUGACUGUGGCCAUCGAGUGUGCCAUCAGAUGGGGACGCUGCGCCACAGCCCGGGAUUCCGGAGCUGGGGCCCUGCCACGGCAGGCUUUGUGGACGUUGCCUUGUUUACUGCCGCUGCCGUGCACGGCGUCCCAGGGGCUGCGCCGACGCAUUUAUGGGGGACCCAAGUCCACGCAGCGGUCGUAAAUGCAGCGGAGAUGAGCCGAGCGGAACCAGGCCCCACCCAGCGUGCGCGCCAACCCGGCGGCAGUGGUGCCCCGCUGUCAGAAGCAGGAGAGCUGACCUGCUCCGCUGGGGCGGACAGAGCCCGCGGGGACACUGCUGGGGCCCCACACCAGGCUCCCGAGCUGACCUGCCACUGGCCCCCACCUGCUCCCAGGCCCCAGGGGCCCAUUUCUGGCAUUCCAGUCACGGACCAGACCCUAGAGGUCAGCCGUCCGUCUGUCCCCAGCUUGAGUCUCGUUUCUCGGGUACAGACGUCCCGUCAGCAUCUUACUCGGGAUUGCUGAUGUGUUAAAGCCCCGAGAAGACUGGUGCUUGGUCGGGCUCAACUCACUGAGAACCCUUUCUGGUUCAUCUCCUUAAAAUCCGUAUGUGCAUGGCUAAACCUCCUCCAGGUGAAGAGUGAAAAUGAGAUUUUUAAGGCAAAGAAAAAGACCCUAGUUUCCCGGUGUUCCCUGGGUCUGCGCUGCGCAUUAGAAGGCUCGCUGACUGAUGUGUUCCGUGGCGUGCAGGCAGCGCGUGCAGCUCAGGAAGAGUGGCUUGAGGGAAGGUGUAGCCAGUGCCCCCAGGACCUCACCUGCCAUCCCCUGGGUGUGUGCGUGCACCUGGACACCUUGCUCACCUGUGAGGACGCCGUGAAGGGCUCGCCAAACCUGGGUGGGCCCAGAAUCCCCCAGGCACCGUGGGAAGUGGAACAAUGAUGCCCCAAAUGUGCCUCUGCCCUGACCGCAGAGCCUGGGACCCUGGGUGUGUGCGUGCACCUGGACACCUUGCUCACCUGUGAGGACGCCGUGAAGGGCUCGCCAAACCUGGGUGGGCCCAGAAUCCCCCAGGCACCGUGGGAAGUGGAACAAUGACGCCCCAAAUGUGCCCCUGCCCUGACUGCAGAGCCUGGGAGUGCUCCCUGAUGUGGCACAGGGGUAUUGUGGGUGCAAUGGGGUUAGGCAGCCAAUCAGUUGACCUCAGGACGGGGAGAUCAUCCUGAAUUAUCCAGGCGCAUUCAGGGAAACCCCAACAUGAGGAGACAGUGUUGGAAAGACAUGGCGAGGACUCACCGGCCUUGCUGGGUUUUUGAUGGAGGAAGGGGCCACAAGCCAAGGGUCAUCGCACGGCUCACCCUACCCACGGGGCUCGGGGGCACACUUCGGGGGGUGUUCUUGGGCUUGCUUCAUCUUAAUACUCAGCUCCUCUGAGAGGCACAUUGGAGCAGGAGCUUCUGUUUCCCGGGGUCUGGGCGGCCUAGACAAGGGCAGCCCCAGCAAGCACGUCUGGACCAGGCUCAUGGCGGCGUUUCAGCACCCUGGACAGUUUCAGCACCCUGGACAGCGUCUCGCUGCUCUGCAUUACCGGGUUCCGCGUCUUCCCGGGGUUUGAUCCCAGCAGCAUGAAGGGCGCACACAGCUGCGACAAGUCGGGAGCAAGCCUGUGUGUCGGGGCCAGCACCUGAGACCUGAUCCCUGCUUCACGGACGAGAGAGAAUCAGCCUUUUUGUACUUUCUUGAC